CCCAGAUCCAAAUCCAAGGCCCCCCUCCCCCGGUAUCUUCCUCCAUACUCUCUCUACAUUUUCCCACUCUUACUUUUCUCUCAUUUCACUUUUCCGGGUUACCAAACACACACUCUCUCCAGUACUCUCUCUCUCCCUAGAAAAGCUAAAGCUUUGGUGGUUGGUUUUCUUUCUAUAUCGUUAUCAUCUUCUCCCACCUUUGAGUCAUCUCUCUGCAAACAAAUCUCUGUGUCGGUGGUGGGAUCGCUAUCAUUCACAUUGAUGAUGUUCUCUGCCUGAUUCGUUUUUUUGUUCUUCAUUUCUCAUUAUUGCAUUUCCUAUAGAGAAAGUUCAAUUCUUUUUGAAUUCUCUACUCUUGGAAUGUGGAUCAUCAUCCAUGCAAUGCUCACCUGAGAAGAAGCAAGUGUAUUUAAGUGGUUGGUGAAUGAAUCAUGGACCACAAGCCAUGGCUUUGGAGGAAGAAAUCAACAGAAAAGCCCAAUGUUGGAGCAGCAGAAGACAAAGUCAACGUCUUGGGCAAAGGAAAUGAAGAUGAGAUAGAGGCAAUUCAGGCUGAGAAGGCAGAGCUGGAGAACAAUCUGAAAACUUUAAGUGAUAAGCUUGCUUCAGCUCUCUCUGAAUGUAACAGCAAAGAUGAACUUGUGAAGAAACAUGCCAAAAUGGCACAGGAGGCUGUUCAAGGCUGGGAGAAGGUAGAAGCAGAUGCGGGGUUUCUAAAGCAAGAACUGGAUAAAGCUUUACAAAUCAGAGCAGCUCGUGAAGAAAGAAUAGCUCAAUUGGAUGCAGCCCUCAAGGAAUGUAUGCAGCAGCUACGAUUUGUUCGAGAAGAACAGGAGCAAAGGGUUCAUGAUGCUAUGAUGAAGACAUCAAGAGAAUUUGAGAAAUCCCAGAUGGUGUUAGAGGAGAAAUUAGCAGAGACCACUAAAAGGCUUUCUAAAAUAGGUGCUGAAAACACCCAUCUUAGUAAUGCUCUUUUAGUGAAGGAAAAGUUGAUAGGAGACUUAAGAAAACAAUUGACUCAGGUGGAAGCUGAUUUCAAUGCACUCACGAGUAGAUUAGAAUCCACUGAGAAAGAUAAUGCUUCUUUGAAAUAUGAGGUUCGAGUGCUUGAGAAAGAGCUUGAGAUCCGGAAUGAGGAGAGAGAAUUCAACCGUCGAACUGCAGAUGCAUCACACAAGCAAAACCUGGAGGGUGCAAAGAAAAUUGCAAAGUUAGAAUCAGAAUGUCAGAGGUUGCGUCUCCUGGUCCGGAAGCGGUUGCCAGGUCCUGCUGCCUUGGCAAAAAUGAAAACUGAAGUUGAAAUGCUAGGACGGGAUUCUGUUGACAUGAGGAGGAGAAAGUUGAAUCCAAAUGGUUUCAUGUUUGACUCUACUGUUGAUAACUUUCCUGAGACUCCCAGCAAAAGGGUUAACAUUCUGACUGACCAGUUAUAUGCUAUGGAAGAAGAAAACCAGACUCUCAAGGAAGCACUCAAUAAAAAGAUGAACGAACUCCAGUUCUCUAGAAACAUGUAUGCUCGUAUAGCUUCAAAAUUAUCACAAGCUGAAACACCGCUUGAAGAAUCAUCAAGAGGCCAGACAACCAUGGAGCCAAUGAGGAGUAGUCUUAUGUCUCGUGAAGUCUCUGUAGCAUCUAUGUCUGAUAUUGGCAGCGAUGAUAAGGUUAGUUGGAAAAGCUAGCAGUGGUUUCUGCUGAUAAACUAAGUAUAGGUUCUCCUGUUUCUUCAGCUAACGCAUUUGUUGGCACCUUGGAAACUGAGUAUUCCUCAGAACUUGUGGGUAGCGAGAUGGUUCCUGUUUCUGACAGUGAGUCAGGCUUCAAUAUGUCAAACAGGGGGACCAGAUUUAAAAAUAUUCCUGAUGGUAAAGCUCCCAAUUGGAUUCAGGAUAUAGUGAAACUGGUGUUGGAGCACAACCGUGUUGCAGGAAGAAAUCCUGAACAGAUACUUGAGGAUAUAAGAUUGGCUCUGGCAUCCACAGAAAAUCAAAAGCCUGGUGAGUUGGUUAAUGCAAGGACAAAUGGAAACCAUUUUGAUGCAUCCAAUCCUUCCUCUGUUAAAAGCUGCAUCUCAUGGAAAGGUUCAGAUAGAUCUCUGGUAACUGAUUCACCCAGUGGAGUAAGUGAUGUGGACAUCUCAAGCCCAAAGAGAAGUAAUCAGCAGUUCCAGCCAGAUCUGAGUAAAUCAUUAUGUAAAAUAAUUGAGCUUAUUGAGGGAAUCAGUGUGCCAUCUCCAGAUUAUAACCCAGAGAAUGAGACCAGGAAGGAUGGGAACUUGUCCACAUAUAAGAAUUCAGAAUACACAGGCUACAUGGUUCGUGUUUUCCAGUGGAAAACUUCUGAACUUGGUGAUCUUCUACAACAAUUUGUUCAUGCUUGUUAUGAUCUGUUGAAUGGAAAGGCUGGUCUUGACAAGUUUGCCCAAGAGCUCACUACUGCUUUGGACUGGAUUUUAAACCAUUGCUUUUCACUUCAAGAUGUUUCAAGCAUGAAAGAUGCAAUUAAGAAACAGUUUGAUUGGGAUGAUACACGAAGUGAAAGCGAAGCAGAAGUUGGAGUGGUUGGUCACUUUUUAGAUACAGACAAAUUACGCGGUCGACGAGAACAGUUAUCAUGUUUGCCCACGUCUACUUCUUCAAAUGGCCAUAGCAUCCAAAUAGAAGAGCUGCAGGCCAAUCUGGUCAAAGAAAACAGAAAAUUAAAGGAUGAAUUGGUGAAUAUAGAAUCUGCAAAGAGAGAGUUGGAAGGGAGAUUUCAGUCAGCUUGUGAUAAGAGUGAAUACCUGAUGAAUCAGCUUAAGGAAUCGGAAAAGGCUAUAGCCAGUUUGAGAACAGAGUUACAAAGUUUAAGAGAGUCAAAAGGAAUCAUUGAGGACCAAAUUAAAAAUCACAAGGUGAUGAAUGAAGAUCUUGACACGCAGCUUACAGUGGCCAGAGUUGAAUUAAGUGAUGCUCGCCAAAAGUUUUCAUCCCUUGAAGUUGAACUGGAGAAUAAAUACAACUGCUGCGAAGAAUUGGAGGCUACAUGCCUGGAACUACAGCUUCAGCUUGAAAGUGUGAAGAAGAAAAGCCCAAAUUCCGAUCCCAAUCCAGACGAAAGGCAAGCCCAAAAUGAUUGGGAGAUAACAGCUGCUUCAGAAAAGUUGGCCGAAUGCCAAGAGACAAUACUUAACCUCGGGAAGCAGUUGAAGGCAAUGGCUGCACCAAAGGAAGCAGCCCUUUUUGACAAGGUCAUCACUAAUCCCACUGAUAUAAAUACCCUCAAAGCCAAAGCCACAUGCCCAACCCCACAGAAGAAACUGAACCAACGAUCCUCUCUACUAGAUCAAAUGUUAGCAGAAGAUGGUGCUGGCAUCAAGAAUUUAAUGUCUCCAAAGACAAAAGAGGUCGACGGUAAUUCAACUUCCACGUACAGUCCUAAUAGGGUGAUAGAGCCCCUCGAGAAUAUCCUUGUUCUAAAUGGUAAAUACCAGGAUGACAAUGCUACUGUUGGUUCCUUAGCUAUAGUGCCUGGCAAGAAAAGGGGAGGUGGGAGUUUAUGGAAAAAGCUGUUAUGGAGAAAGAAAGGUAGCAGCAAAAAAGCACCCCUUCCGAUCGCAUCAUGAUCAAUCUCUAUCGUAUGAUAAGUUGAUUACAACGUUGGUGUUCCUUGCUCUGUUUUGAUGGCAGUUUGGUUUGUCACACGCCUGUAAUGCAAGAUAAUAAAGGCUAUAGGUCUGUUGGUCAUUCUCAUUCGAGAGAUACUGGAGAACGCGUGAGUGAGGGUUUUGUUUUUGUUUUUGCGUACGAUAUGUAUUGCUCCUGUAUAUAUGUAUCGUUCUAGGCAACUGAGAAUUUGCAACAAUGUCAGCAGAGAAGUUGACAUUUGUGUACCAUUAACCCAAAAAAGGAAAUGAGGGUGAAAAAAAGAGAAUAUGUAGUUAUGCCGUAUACACCAUGUAAUUCCCCGUUUUGUACACGUAAAUUUUCCCAUGAAUAAAAUAUGGUCUUUUAUUAUUAUAAA